rnacentral:rRNA from 1 species
UACGUAGGUCCCGAGCGUUGUCCGGAAUUACUGGGUAUAAAGGGUGCGCAGGCGGUCUUGUGCGUCAGAAGUGAAAUAUCACGGCUCAACCGUGAGGGUGCUUUUGAUACGGCAAGACUUGAGUGCGGGAGAGGAUGAUGGAAUUCCUGGUGUAGCAGUGAAAUGCGUAGAUAUCAGGAGGAACACCGGUGGCGAAGGCGGUCAUCUGGCCCGUAACUGACGCUCAGGCACGAAAGUGUGGGUAGCAAAC